rnacentral:miRNA from 10 species
UUCCUCUUCCUCUUCCUCUUCCUCUUCCUCCUCCUCCUCCCUCUGUCUAAUUAUGUCAUUACCUUACACACAAAUGGCGACAACGUGCUAAUGACUCAUGCCCACUGCGUUGGUUGAUCCAAUUGAAGAUAAGUCAGUUCAAACUGAUCAACCCUG